AUUAUCUUCUUCACGAUAUAUUCACUCACAUUCACUGAUAAGAAGGAGGAGGAGAUACUCACCCUUAACACAACUUCACACCCUCUCAAUUAUCUCAAUUUAUUACACAGAAAGAACACUACACAUGGAAAAUGAGGUAGAUGAGAGAGAGAGUAGUAGAGAGGAGAGACGCUAAAAAAGAGGAAAAGAGAUCUAGGUUUUUGUCUUUUUCACCUUCAUCCACGCCCACACACGAAAAACACACGCACACAACGCACAUAGUGAAAACAACAAAAAAAUGAGCAAAAAUGGCGUGAGAAUCGAAGGAGAAAACAGAAUUUGGGUUUCUGGUUAGUGUUCCGGCGACCCCUUUACCGUAAUCUCAUCGUUCUCUUUUGAUUUAUGGGUUCAUCUGUUUUUGCGUUUCAUCGUCGAAACCGGGUUUCCAACUUGUCGAAUUGCUUAGAUUUGGUUUUAUUUUUAUUCUUGGGUUUUUAAGAUUCGAAUUUCAUCUUUAUAUUUGGGGAUUUUCUGUUGCCUUUCAGAGUUGUUGAUUCAGAUGUUUAUAAUUAAGUUUGGUUUCCCGAAUUAAAAUUUGUUCGGAUUGGGAUUGGCGAUAUCGAGUUGGAUCUUUGUCAUUGUUGAAGCUCGAAGUCGAGGUUCUCGAGCGUGGUUCUAUCUCCGAUAUAUUGAAAGUGACACUUGUGGUCCAAUUCUAUCUUCUCUUUAAUUUUUUAUGUGAAUAUGAAUGAUUUGUUAUUUGAUAUGUUUGAAUCUUUGUUUUUGUGUUGGUUGAUGUUGGAUUUGAAUGUGGAAACUUGGAUUAGUAAUCGAAGAAUUGAUUAAUUAUUUUGAGAAUGAAUGUGGGAAGGGAUUGAUCUUGAUAAAAGUAAAUUUGGAUAAUUUUUAAUUCAUUGAUGAUGUUGAAAUGUGAUAAGAAUUAUGAUAGGUCGAGUUGGAUAGGAAAAUAGUAGGUUCGGAUAAGAAAAUUUAGAACUUUUGGAUUGUUGAAUGUUGAAAAUGUUUGUUGAAUGGUUUUAUUUUAUGAAUUUAGAUCGAUUGUAUUCAUUCGUCGUGGAAAGCCCCGAGGUCACAUUUGUAUUCAUUCACCGGGAAAUGCCCCGACGUAUCAUGUACUCGGAGGAUGCCUGUGAUGAAGGCCCGAAGCAUCGAGUAAGGCAUUGGAGCGUAGUUUAGGAUUAGUGUAGGUUAGAGUAGGUUUACUUUUCAGUACCUUUUUCAUUUUGGGUUGUAAUAACUGGACCGAACACUAUAUUUUUGGACUAGUUUUGUUUGUUUGAUUGAUCGUUUUCGUGUUUUUUUUGUGUGGUUUGUACAUUUUGUAGUAUCAAAUUAGCCGAUAUGCUCCACCAAGCGACUUUGGUCGAACCACGAAAUCGAGAGGUGCCUAACACCUUCCCCUCGAUCAACAGACUUUCUUAACCGAAAUAUCUAUUCGCAGAUCAGUAUAAAAGAUUCAAAAUCAUUUUUUUUUUACAAAGGAUUUCCAAAGGUUACUUGGCACACCCGAUUUAUGCCAAGUGGCAACUCUGAGUUUUUAUAUAGAAAUAAUCCUUUUUGAAACAAAUCUUCAUUUUUGUCGCUUUAAUAAUAAAACCCUUUCAAACCUUAAAAACUCAAACAAAUCUUUUUGGUUAAAAAAAGGGUGUGACAGCCUUGGCGACUCUGUUGGGGAUUUUUCAAAAUUCGAGCUUAUUUUGGGGUUGUAUCGGCUUAGUUUAACACUAUAGGUGUAUAGACAUUUUGUUUGUGUUAUUUUGUGUUGUUGUUUACCAUUGUUGAGUGUCUACGUGCUCUUUGUUUACAGUUUUUACUUUAUGUGUUACCGCUUUAUAUCUGGCAUCAUGUGCAUAACCCGAGUCUUUCUUUCUGCAACAAGUUAGUACACGUGUGUACACAAUCUAUAGUUGAUUCACCCUUAUUUUAGGAGGGGGCCGUUGGAUUGUAUGGAGUAGGUGGAUAGCUAAAGCAAGCCACUAUUGACCAUACGCUCCCCCGAACACCCUUGUUAGUGGACCCCAACAUAGGCCAGCCUUUACGUCAUGCUUAUCUGCAUCAUAUUGAGACCUAGCGGGACCCACGUGGCUCUUUUCAGGAGACUUACCUCUAAAGCAUCCUUACGUGCUAAAUGUUGCAUCUUUGAGGGUAACAUGGUCAUUUGACGGACUCAUUCGGGGAAGACGUGUGUUAGAAGUAAAGUGCUUAGGCAAAGAAUGUUGAGAAAAAAAUAGAAAAAAAUAUAAGUGAAAAGUGAGUCGAAAAGAAAAAAAACCAGAGAGUUUUAUAGUUUUUAGAGUUCUUUAUAGCUUUUGUUUUCCACGAUUCAAAAAUUCAAAAAAAAAAAGAUUUUUUUUUACUUUUGCACUCAUUUUUCAAAAAAAAAAAAUCAUCAAAAAGAUUUUUCUUUUAUUUCAUUUAGCAAGCAUUCACAAUUCGAAAACUCCAAAACGAUUUUUUUAAGAGCUUUUUAUAAAAGAAAAAUUCAAAAAAAAGGUGGUAGAAGUUUUGUAUAUUUCAUAUAACAAAAAUACCAAAAAGAUUUUUUUUCAUAGCUGUUGAUGUCAUUUUUUAUGUGAAGUGUCAAAUUGAAAACUCAAAGAAAAGGUUUUGUUAUGUUGUUCAUCGUGUGUCUUUGGUCUUGUCUCAAGUCAGGGUGCAAUUUAUUAUUUAAUCAUUAAUUGUCCAAUCUGACAGUGUCUGUCCCCUGGAUAAAAGAGACUCAAACAGUGUUUGUCCCCUGGAUAAAAGAAAAUUUUAAGAAAUGGCACCUACUUAUGGGUUGUAACACCUAAUUUUGUCCCAUAAAAAUAUUUCUUAUUCUGAUAUCACACAAUUUAACCCCAUUCUUAUAAUUUUUCCCUAAGAAAAUAAAUAACCACCCCAUUUUUUACUUAUUUAUUUAUUUUUUUUGUUUUGUUUUUGUCCCAAAAUAACAAGUCAUAAAAAACUUUGUCUCAUUCUAGCAUUCCAACAACCCACCCAAUCAAAAAUGGACACCUAACCCCUACCCCUCCAAUUGAAAAAAAACAACACCUCACCACUCACCAAACCACCUCACCACCACCCCCUCCAUGUGACCCCCUACCUUUUUUUUGUUUACACGUUUUCUUGACAUCUCCAUAUAUAGAAAAAGACAAUACACAAAAGAGGAGGAUUCAUUGGGGUCCACAGAAUAACAAAAAACAUAAAAUAGCACCAUCACCUCACAAUUUCAUAGGCACAAAAUUAUCUUCUUCACGAUAUAUUCACUCACAUUCACUGAUAAGGAGGAGGAGAUACUCACCCUUAACACAACUUCACACCCUCUCAAUUAUCUCUAUUGAUUACACAGAAAGAACACUACACAUGGAAAAUGAGGUAGAUUGAGAGAGAGAGUAGUAGAGAGGAGAGACGCUAAAAAAGAGGAAAAGAGAUCUAGGUUUUUGUCUUUUUCACCUUCAUCCACGCCCACACACGAAAAACACACGCACACAACGCACAUAGUGAAAACAACAAAAAAAUGAGCAAAAAUGGCGUGAGAAUCGAAGAAGAAAAUAGAAUUUCGGUUUCUGGUUAGUGUUCCGGCGACCCCUUUGCCGUAAUCUCAUCGUUCUCUUUUGAUUUGUGGGUUCAUCUGUUUUUGCGUUUCAUCGUCGAAACUGGGUUUCCAUCUUGUCGAAUUGCUUAGAUUUGGUUUUAUUUUUAUUCUUGGGAUUUUAAGAUUCGAAUUUCAUCUUUCUAUUUGGGGAUUUUCUAUUGCCGUUCAGAGUUGUUGAUUCGGAUGUUUAUAAUUGAGUUUGAUUUCCUGAAUUAAAAUUUGUUCUGAUUGGGAUUGGCGAUAUCGAGUUGGAUCUUUGUCAUUGUUAAAGCUCGAAGUCGAGGUUCUCGGGCGUGGUUCUAUCUCCGAUAUAUUGAAAGUGACACUUGAGGUUCAAUUCUAUCUUCUCUUUAAUUUUUUAUGUGAAUAUGAAUGAUUUGUUAUUUGAUAUGUUUGAAUCUUUGUUUUUGUGUUGGUUGAUGUUGGAUUUGAAUGUGGUAACUUGGAUUAGUAGUCGAAGAAUUGAUUAAUUAUUUUUAGAAUGAAAGUGGGAAGGGAUUGAUCUCGAUAAAAGUAAAUUUGGAUAAUUUUUAAUUCAUUGAUGAUGUUGAAAUGUGAUAAGAAUUAUGAUAGGUCGAGUUGGAUAGGAAAAUAAUAGGUUCGGGUAAGAAAAUUUAGAACUGUUGGAUUGUUGAAUAUUGAAAAUGUUUGUUGAAUGGUUUUAUUUUAUGAAUUUGGAUCGAUUGUAUUCAUUCGUCGGGGAAUGCCCCGAGGUCACAUUUGUCUUCAUUCACCGGGGAACGCGCCGACAUAUCAUGUACUGAAGGAUGCCCGUGAUGAAGGCCCGAAGCAUCGGGUAAGGCAUUGGAUCGUAGUUUAGAAUUAGUCUAGGUUAGCGUAGGUUUACUUUUCAGUACCUUUUUCAUUUUGGGUUGUAACAAUUGGACCAAACACUAUAUUUUUGGACUGGUUUUGUUUGUUUGAUUGAUAGUUUUUGUGUAUUUUUUUUUGUUUGUACAUUUUGUAGUAUCAAAUUAGCCGAUAUGCUCCACCAAGCGACUGUGAUCGAACCACGAAAUAGAGAGGUGCCUAACACCUUCCCCUCGAUCAACAGACUUUCUUAACCGAAAUAUCUAUUCGCGGAUCAGUUUAAAAGAUUCAAAAUCAUUUUUUAUGACAAAGGAUUUCCAAAGGUGACUUGGCACACCCGAUUUAUGCCAAGUGGCGACUCUGAGUUUUUGUAUAUAAAUAAUCCUUUUCAAAAUAAAUCUUCAUUUUUGUCACUUUAAUAAUAAAACCCUUUCAAACCUUAAAAACUCAAACUAAUCUUUUUGGUUAAAAAAGGGGUGUGACAGCCCUGGCGACUCUGUUGGGGAUUUUUCAGAAUUCGAGCUUGUUUUGGAGUUGUAUCGGCUUAGUUUAACACUAUAGGUGUAUAGACAUUUUGUUUGUGUUAUUUUGUGUUGUUGUUUACCAUUGUUGAGUGUCUACGUGCUCUUUGUUUACAGUUUUUACUUUAUGUGUUACCGCUUUAUAUCUGGCAUCAUGUGCAUAACCUGAGUCUUUGUUUCUGCAAUAAGUUAGUACACGUGUGUACACGAUCUAUAGUUGAUUCACCCUUAUUUUAGGAGGGGGGCCGUUGGAUUGUAUGGAGUAGGUGGACAGCUAAAGCAAGCCACUAUCGACCAUACGCUCCCCCGAAUACCCUUGUUAGUGGACCCCACCAUAGGUCAACCUUUAGGUCAUGCUUAUCUGUAUCAUAUUGAGAACUAGCGGGACCCACGUGGCCCUUUUCAGGAGACUUACCUCUAAAGCAUCCUUACGUGCUAAAUGUUGCAUCUUUGAGGGUAACAUGGUCAUUUGACGGACUCAUUCGGGGAAGACGUGUGUUAGAAGUAAAGUGCGUAGGCAAAAAAUGUUGAGAAAAAAAUAGAAAAAAACAUAAGUGAAAAGUGAGUCGAAAAGAAAAAAAAGAGAGUUUUGUAGUUUUUAGAGUUCUUUAUGGAUUUUGUUUUCCACGAUUCAAAAAUUCAAAAAAAAAAGAUUUUUUUUUACUUUUGCACUCAUUUUUCAAAAAUUUAAAAAAAAAAAAACAUCAAAAAGAUUUUCCUUUUGUUUCAUUUAGCAAGCAAUCACAAUUUGAAAACUCCAAAACGAUUUUUUUAAGAGCUUUUUAUAAAAGAAAAAUUCAAAAAAAAAGGUGGUAGAAGUUUUGUAUAUUUCAUAUAACAAAAAUACCAAAAAGAUUUUCUUUCAUAGCUGUUGAUGUCAUUUUUUAUGUGAAGUGUCAAAUUGAAAACUCAAAGAAAUGGUUUUGUUAUGUUGUUCAUCGUGUGUCUUUGGUCGUGUCUCAAGUCAGGGUGCAAUUUAUUAUUUAAUCAUUAAUUGUCCAAUCUGGACGAACUACGCACCCCUGAUUCUUCUAUUUCGGGAGUGAGAUACAUAGCCAGCCUAUUAUAGGUUCGGGGAUCUUAUUUAAAAAAUUCAAAAAGGAUUUUCUUCACUAUUCAUUUAGAGUAGGUGUUUCAUACAUGUUUUGAAAAGAAAAAUUAAAAAAAAAAAAUCCUCAAUAGUCGUAGGAUUCAUUUUUGGUUGAUCUUAUUUCAAAAAAUCCAAAAAGAUUUUCUUCACUCUUUUUGAGAGAAGUUGUUUAAUAUACAUCUUUAAAAGAAAACAACAAAAAAUAUUUUCCUUUAAUAGGUUCAAGUUUUGUUUUCGUAUGAAAUUCAAAAUCUAAAUCCCCAAAAGAUUUUCUUUGGUAUCAUAGGUUUCAUUUUGUAUAGGGAUUUUCAAAACUGAAAAACUCAAAAAGAUUUUCAUCAAUUCUUUUAACAAUUUAUUGUUUUCUUUUAAAGUUUCAAGAAAAAUAAAAAGGAAAGGAAAAAGAGUUUAAUUGGCCAUUUUGACAAGACUUCACGAACUACGAACACCUGAUUCUCCUCUUUCGGGAGUGAGAUACGUAGGCGCCCUUCUUGGGUUCGGUGAUCUUUUCUAAAAUGAUAAAAAAUAAAAAAAAAGGGUUUUGAAAAAAAGGUGUUGAACUCUAAUGCAUUUGAUGUUUAUUUUGUUCAGUUAGUUUAAGGUGGUUGGUUUUUGGCAUUUUGGCUGGUCCUCUAUAGUGCACCAAAUUAUAGAGAAAGUUAUGACCAACAAGGAUACCGAGUUUAUUGUCACUAAUUCGACAGGGAGCUCGGGGAAUGGGAAUUUAGAAGCUAAUGAAGAGAUUCGAAAAUUAAGGCAACAAAUGAUAGAAAUGCAUCGAACUUUGGCUAAUGGGUUUCCUCCUCCUCUAGUUCCUAAUGAUAAUCUAGAAUAUCUUUCUAGCUUGCCUCCCGUGUCACAUGCACAAUUUCCCAUUUUUAUUGACAUGCCACAACAUGCAUCAGGGACUACUCGGGAAAACACUAUCCAAACACUUCGAAUAUUCCUUUCCUCACUCCUCAACAUAAAACUACCACUUACUAGUCUCCAUCUGUUGUUCAUGCUUUUCCAGCGCCACCCCCUCUUAAAGAUCCUACUUUUAAUGCCAAUCCAACAGUUGUGAUUCCUCACUCUAAAAGUGACCCUGUAUUGAAUAUUUCAAGUGAUCAACAUUAUGCUCCCGAGCUCACAUUUAAGUCGACUGAUCCUUAUGGCUACACUUAUCCGCCUGAAUUUACUCUUAAUGCUGAAAAUCCUGUUAUGAAAGAAGAACAAGAAGAAAUGACCAGAAAAUUGAGAAGUUUGGAACUGGCUAGGAAGAAAUCCAAGGUCCUGGGGGUACAAAAGUGUCUCAUAUAAAGAUCUGUGCAUGUUUCCAGGUGUUUAUCUCCCUUUCGGUUUUAAGAUGCCAAAGUUUGAAAAGUAUCAUGGACAUGGGGAUCUGGUGGCACAUUUGAGACAUUAUUGUAACCAACUAAGAGGUGUCGAAGGCAAAGAAGAACUGCUCAUGGCUUACUUUGGUGAGAUCCUUUCGGGUCUAGCUUAGGAAUGGUUUGUUGACCAAGACAUUAACAAGUGGAUUUGUUGGGAUGACCUAGCUAAUGGAUUUGUGCAACAAUUUCAAUACAAUGUGGAGUUGAUCCCUAAUUAGUAUAAAAAAGAAGAGAGUUUCAGGGAGUAUGCGAUCAGAUGGCGCGAACAAGCUGCUAGAGUAAAACUGCCAAUGAAACAAAGCAAAAUAGUGGAGGUGUUUGUUCAAACGCAGGAUGAAACAUAUUAUCAACACUUGUUACCUGCAUUAGGCAAGUCAUUUAUUGAGGUCCUUAAAAUGGGGGAGAUGAUAGAAGAGGGAAUUAAGACUGGUCGCAUUAUAAAUUUUACAACAUUGAAAGCGACAACUCAAGCAAUUCAAAAGGGUUUAGAAAGUGUUGGGGAGACAAACAAUGAGGAAGUUACAUCUUCUAUUAUAGUUGGACAGCGGCCAGGGUAAAGAAGAUCCCGUUGUCGUCACUCUCAGGCUCAUUCAUGCCCAAGCUCCACAUAAUCACUCCCAAAAUCCAUUAUACUCUACUCCUCCACCUCCGUAUCCAGUAUAUAAUGCACAACCACAUGUUCAACACCCAUGUUACAUAAAGUGGAACACACUAACUCCCCAGAGUCAUCCUCUAACUCCACAAACAUACCAAAACCCUUCUAAGCCAAAGAAAGACCUUUAAAUCAAUCUUUUAGAAUGCUAAGGUUAAGCAUGCAAUGGAUAUGAUGACACAUUUUGGGAACUACUCGUCUUCCUCAGCAUAAGAAAUCAGGAAAGAUAUAAAAAUAAGAGAGUCUUAUUGGUGAAAACCCUCAUGAGCACCAUAAGACGAUGGUAAGUUGAGAGAGAUAAAAUGAGAGAGUUUUAUUGGUGAAAACUCCACGGGCACCAUAAAGCGAUGGUGAGUUGAGAGAAAAAUGAGAGAGGCUUGUUGGAAAAAAUCCUUCAAUGUGUCACUAGCCGAAUGAGCUCUUCGAAUGCAAUGGGUCUAAGCAAGUAACUCAGUUUCAGAGCCAUUAACUCCAGAACAAUUGGUAGAAAGCUUGGAUGUAAAGAUCAGACAGCUUGAUCCAAAAUGCAUGGCAUAAUUAUUAAAGUUGACUGUUAUUUCUAGAUAAAUUUUUUAUUUCUUUAUUUCAAAUGGGGACAUUCAUUGUCUUUUAUUUCUUCUCUUUAUUUUCUAUUUUAUUUUCUUUAGUCAGUUGUCCAAAUAAAAAUCAUUGUCAUUUUUUUUUCUCUUGCCUUUUUAGUCAAGUCCAUGUCAAAACAAGUGAGAAAAGAUUUCAAAACUGGUUACCAUCUUCUUCAAUUGUGCAAAGCAAGACAAAAGGCCAACACAUGAAAGAGACAUGAUUGUGAGCCAAAAUAAGGCAUGCAGAAAGUUGUGUCAACCAAAAAGUCCAAGGUUUAAAGGGUUUAUCUGAGAAACAUGAUAAAGCAGAGAUACUGUAUUUGUUUCAGAGUCACUCUUAAUAAUCUGAGUUCGGGUCAAUGAUGCAGUAAGCCAGUGACACACGCUAAUGGUCCAAAGCAAAAUUAAAUAUGACAGGGGCAAGAGCGAUUUCCACGAAAGACAAAGCCAUAAACCAUCCACCAUGUUUUUAAACAAACAAGUUUUCUUUGAAUGAAAUAGGAACACAUGCUACCUUCGGAUCAAGGAUUUAUAAGCUUAAACAUCAAAGGCUAUAUUAUUCUCACUUCUACAAAUGCAAGAGGCAAUGUUGCUGCACAGAUUUGGUAUUCAAAACCAUGGUAAAACUCAUAAUCCAAUAUCUCUAGGAGACACACUUCCUUAUUUGGGUAAUUCAAGCAACAUUUGUAAGGAGACACACUUUCUUGUUUGGGUGAUUCAAGCAACAUUUGUAAGGGGACGCACUUCCUUGUUUGGCCAAUUCAAGCAAUAUUUGAAAGGAGACAUACUUCCUUAUUUGGGUAAUUCAAGCUGCAUUGGUAGGAAGACGCACUUUCUUAUUUCGGUAAUUCAAGCGGCAUUUGUAAGGAGACGUACUUCCUUGUUUGGACAAUUCAAGUAAUAUUUGUAAGGAGACGCACUUUCUUCUUUGGUAAUUCAAGUGGUAUUUGUAAGGAGACGUAAUUCCUUGUUUGGACAAUUCAAGCAACAAUUAUAAGAAGACGUACUUCUUUGUUUCGAUAAUUCAAGUGGCAUUUAUAAGGAGAUGUACUUCCUUGUUUGGACAAUUCAAGCAACAUUUGUAAGGAAACACAUUUUCUUGUUUGGGCAAUUCAAGCAACAUUUGUAAGGAGACGCACUUCCUUAUUUGGGCAAUUCAAGCAACAUUUUUAAGGAGACGUACUUUCUUGUUUGGACAAUUUAAGCAACAUUUAUUAGGAGUCGUACUUCCUUAUUCGGAUAAUUCCAGAAACAUUGGUAAGGAGACACACUUCCUUGUUUUGGUAAUUUAAGCGGCAUUGGUAAGGAGAUGCACUUCCUUUUUUUGGUAAUAUAAGAGGCAUUGGAAGGAGACGCACUUUCUUAUUUGGGUAUUUCUAGCAACAUUUGUAAGGAGACGCAUUUUAUUAUUUGGGUAAUUCAAGAAGCAUUGGUAAGGAGAUAACUUCCUUGUUUUGGUAAUUUAAGCGGUAUUAGUAAGGAGACGCACUUCCUUGUUUUGGUAAUUUAAGCGGCAUUGGUAAGGAGAAGCACUUCCUUGUUUGGAUAAUUCAAGCAACAUUUGUAAGGAGAUGCACUUCCUCAUUUGGGUAAUUCAAGCAGCAUUGGUAAGGAGACACACUUCCUUGUUUUGGUAAUUUAAGCGGCAUUGGUAAGGACACGCACUUCCUUAUUUUGGUAAUUCAAGAGGCAUUGGUAAAGAGACGCACUUUCCUAUUUGGGUAUUUCUAGCACCAUUUGUAAGGAAACGCAUUUCUUUGUUUGGGUAAUUCAAGAGGCAUUUUGUGAGGAGACGCACUUCCUUGUUUGAGUAAUUCAACCGGCAUUUGUAAGGAGACGCACUUACUUUUUUUCAUAAUUCAAGCAACAUCUAUAAGGAGACGUACUUCCUUGUUUGGGUAAUUCAAGCGGCAUUUGUAAGGAGAUGCACUUCCUUGUUUUAAUAACUCAAGCAACAUUGGAGCCUGCCCGAAGCACAAGGAGAAUAAAUGGAAAGUCAAGCAAAAAGGUGAAACAAUUGAAAGCCAAGCAACAAAUUAAGAAAUUGCAAGUCAGGAGCCCGCCUAAAGAAUAGGGUGAUGAAACUCAAGUCAAGAGUUCAAAAGAAGCUGCAUAGAUAGGACUUUUGUAAUUUUAUUUAUCUUUUUAACUCUUGUAAUUUUUCAUUUUUUGAUGUAAUGACAGAGCCGUGACCGGAACCUCGAUGGGACCUCACUCGACUCUACAACUCAGUAUAGUCCAUCUCCUUUCAAUCCUUUGAGAUACCUGUCACUUGAUUCCCUCAUAACUUGGGUAGGUAGGAUGUCCCAAGUCAAGACUUGGUGUCCCUCCUUCCUUAUGUUUCAUUUUUUUAAUAAUAGUUGGAACAAAAUUCUACCUCGUUGUCUACUUUUUUGUCUGAAAACACGUCAUGUUUACAUUCAAAGGGGACAUUCUGUAGACGCCUAAUUUUGUUCCGUCAAAAAUAUUACUUAUUCUAAUAUCACAUAAUUUAACCCCAUUCUUAUAAUUUUUCCCCAAGAAAAUAAAUAACCACCCCAUCUUUUACUUAUUUAUUUAUUUAUUUUUGUUUUGUUUUUAUCCAAAACUAAUGUCAUAACAAACUUUGUCUCAUUCUAACAUUCCAACAACCCACCCAAUCAAAAAUGGACACCUAACCCCUACCCCUCCAAUUAAUAAAAACAGCACCUCACCACUCACCAAACCACCUCACCACCACCCCCUCCACGUGACCCCCUACCUUUUUUGUUUACACAUUUUCUUUCGCUCUCCAUAUAUAGAACAAGACAAUACACAAAAGAGGACGAUUCAUUGGCGCCCCAUAGAAUAACAAAAAACACAAAACAGCACCAUCACCUCACUAUUUCAUAGGCACACAAUCAUCUUCUUCACGAUAUAUUCACUCACAUUCACUGAUAAGAAGGAGGAGGAGAUACUCACCCUUAACAUAACCUCACACCCUCUCUAUUUUCUCCAUUGAUUACAUAAAAAGAACACUACACAUAGAAAAUGAGGUAGAUUGAGAGAGAGAGUAGUAAAGAGGAGAGACGCAAAAAAAAGAGGAAAAGAGAUCUGGGUUUCUGUCUUUUUCACCUUCAUCCACGCCCACACACGAAAAACACACGCACACGAUGCGCACAGUGAAAACAACAAAAAAAUGAGCAAAAAUGGCAUG
rnacentral:lncRNA from 1 species